rnacentral:rRNA from 1 species
CGGUGAUGGGGAGCUUGCUCCUCGGAUCAGUGGCGAACGGGUGAGUAACACGUGAGUAACCUGCCCUUCACUCUGGGAUAACUCCGGGAAACCGGGGCUAAUACUGGAUACGACCUACUCGGGCAUCCGAAGUGGGUGGAAAGAUUUAUUGGUGGGGGAUGGACUCGCGGCCUAUCAGCUUGUUGGUGAGGUAAUGGCUCACCAAGGCGACGACGGGUAGCCGGCCUGAGAGGGCGAUCGGCCACACUGGGACUGAGACACGGCCCAGACUCCUACGGGAGGCAGCAGUGGGGAAUAUUGCACAAUGGGCGAAAGCCUGAUGCAGCGACGCCGCGUGAGGGAUUAAGGCCUUCGGGUUGUAAACCUCUUUCAGCAGGGAAGAAGCGCCUGGGUUUUCUCAAGCGUGACGGUACCUGCAGAAGAAGCACCGGCUAACUACGUGCCAGCAGCCGCGGUAAUACGUAGGGUGCAAGCGUUGUCCGGAAUUAUUGGGCGUAAAGAGCUUGUAGGCGGUUUGUCGCGUCUGCUGUGAAAUUUCGGGGCUCAACCCCGAACUUGCAGUGGGUACGGGCAGACUAGAGUGUGGUAGGGGAGACUGGAAUUCCUGGUGUAGCGGUGAAAUGCGCAGAUAUCAGGAGGAACACCGAUGGCGAAGGCAGGUCUCUGGGCCACUACUGACGCUGAGAAGCGAAAGCAUGGGGAGCGAACAGGAUUAGAUACCCUGGUAGUCCAUGCCGUAAACGGUGGGAACUAGGUGUGGGCCUCAUUCCACGAGGUCCGUGCCGCAGCUAACGCAUUAAGUUCCCCGCCUGGGGAGUACGGCCGCAAGGCUAAAACUCAAAGGAAUUGAC